rnacentral:rRNA from 1 species
UACGUAGGCAGCGAGCGUUGUUCGGAAUUACUGGGCGUAAAGCGCACGUAGGCGGACUAUUAAGUCAGGGGUGAAAUCCCGGGGCUCAACCCCGGAACUGCCUUUGAUACUGGUAGUCUCGAGUCCGGAAGAGGUGAGUGGAAUUCCGAGUGUAGAGGUGAAAUUCGUAGAUAUUCGGAGGAACACCAGUGGCGAAGGCGGCUCACUGGUCCGGUACUGACGCUGAGGUGCGAAAGCGUGGGGAGCAAACAGG